ACUUUUGGUGAGUAAUGCCCACCAGCUAUAACAGUACGGCUUGAGAGGAGGGCCCGGAGAUGGUACUGAGACACGAACCCAGGCCCUAUGGGGCGCAGCAGGCGAGAAACCUUUGCAAUGUGCGAAAGCACGACAAGGUCAAUCCGAGUGUCUCCUGCUAAAGGAGUCUUUUGUCAGUUGUAGAAUCACUGGUGAAUAAGGGGUGGGCAAGUUCUGGUGUCAGCCGCCGCGGUAAAACCAGCACCUCGAGUGGUCAGGAGGUUUAUUGGGCCUAAAGCAUCCGUAGCCGGUUGCAUAAGUUUUCGGUUAAAUCUAUGCGCUUAACGUAUAGGCCGCCGAAAAUACUGUGCAGCUAGGGAGUGGGAGAGGUACACGGUACUCGAUAGGAAGGGGUAAAAUCCUUUGAUCUAUUGAAGACCACCUGUGGCGAAGGCGGUGUACCAGAACACGUUCGACGGUGAGGGAUGAAAGCUGGGGGAGCAAACCGGAUUAGAUACCCGGGUAGUCCCAGCUGUAAACGAUGCAGACUCGGUGAUGCAUUGGCUUGUGGCCAAUGCAGUGCCGCAGGGAAGCCGUUAAGUCUGCCGCCUGGGAAGUACGUACGCAAGUAUGAACUUAAAGGAUUGGCGGGGGAGCACCACAAGGGAUGAAGCUGCGGUUCAAUUGGAGUCAACGCCA
rnacentral:rRNA from 1 species